rnacentral:rRNA from 1 species
AUUGAACGCUGGCGGCAGGCCUAACACAUGCAAGUCGAACGAGUGGCGGACGGGUGAGGAAUGUCUGGGAAACUGCCUGAUGGAGGGGGAUAACUACUGGAAACGGUAGCUAAUACCGCAUACCAUCGGAUGUGCCCAGAUGGGAUUAGCUAGUAGGUGGGGUAAAGGCUCACCCAGGCGACGAUCCAUAGCUGGUCUGCUAGGAUGACCAGCCACACUGGAACUGAGACACGGUCCAUACUCCUACGGGAGGCAGCAGUGGGGAAUAUUGCACAAUGGGCGGAAGCCUGAUGCAGCCAUGCCGCGUGUAUGAAGAAGGCCUUCGGGUUGUAAAGUACUUUCGGCGGGGAAGCGUUACCCGCAGAAGAAGCACCAGCUAACUCCGUGCCAGCAGCCGCGGUAAUAC